rnacentral:rRNA from 1 species
UGGGGAAUAUUGCACAAUGGGGGAAACCCUGAUGCAGCGACGCCGCGUGAGCGAAGAAGGUUUUCGAAUCGUAAAGCUCUGUCCUAUGAGAAGAUAAUGACGGUAUCAUAGGAGGAAGCCCCGGCUAAAUACGUGCCAGCAGCCGCGGUAAUACGUAUGGGGCGAGCGUUGUCCGGAAUUAUUGGGCGUAAAGGGUACGUAGGCGGUCUGUUAGGUCAGGAGUUAAAUCUGGGGGCUCAACCCCUAUCCGCUCCUGAUACCGGCAGGCUUGAGUCUGGUAGGGGAAGAUGGAAUUCCAAGUGUAGCGGUGAAAUGCGCAGAUAUUUGGAAGAACACCGGUGACGAAGGCGGUCUUCUGGGCCAUGACUGACGCUGAGGCGCGAAAGCUAGGGGAGCGAACAGG